rnacentral:rRNA from 1 species
AACGAACGCUGGCGGCAUGCCUAACACAUGCAAGUCGAACGAGACCUUCGGGUCUAGUGGCGCACGGGUGCGUAACGCGUGGGAACCUGCCCUUAGGUUCGGAAUAACUCCCCGAAAGGGGUGCUAAUACCGGAUAAUGUCUUCGGACCAAAGAUUUAUCGCCUUUGGAUGGGCCCGCGUUGGAUUAGCUAGUUGGUAGGGUAAAAGCCUACCAAGGCGACGAUCCAUAGCUGGUCUGAGAGGAUGAUCAGCCACACUGGGGCUGAGACACGGCCCAGACUCCUACGGGAGGCAGCAGUGGGGAAUAGUGGACAAUGGGCGAAAGCCUGAUCCAGCAAUGCCGCGUGAGUGAUGAAGGCCUUAGGGUUGUAAAGCUCUUUUACCCGGGAUGAUAAUGACAGUACCGGGAGAAUAAGCUCCGGCUAACUCCGUG